CAGGUGCUCGGUGAGAGGACAAGAGGCAAUGACAGAUCCUGGAUUUGCCACCCUCAGAGGUUUCCAAAACCUGGCUGGAUAUGGCCCCGAGUGGGCUGGAGACCUCCAAAAUUACCUUCUACACUGAGUAAUGCCCUGAGAUUGGUAACCCUAUACAUUUGGCAAUGGACGUUGUGUAAUUCAGAUACUGGUCACAACCACUUGCAUCUGGGAUGCUGUAACAACCCCCAUGGCCAGAUGUGCAGUUGGAGUAAAUUCAUCCAUGGUAUCCCUGGAAAAGAGGCUUUCUGCCCUCCCAGGGCUGUGAUUCAUUCCUUGUUUCUGACCAGCCUGUGUCUGGUGUGUCACCAGAAAGUCCUCCCCAUGACUGUGCAUUUCCAGAGCCUCUCUAGCACCCAGGCAGUCAACCACACCAAGGAAAGGGGCAAGCUGAAGAAACAGCUCUUCCUUUCGGUUCAGGCUGUUUUCCAGCUGGAUCAGACUGUGAGAUCUGGGGCUGGCAGUGGGAGUGUGAAGGUUGGAGGACGGAGGGGAAGAGGAGGCAAGGGGGCUUCUUCCUCUGGGGGCUGCCCAGACUCGGGCUGGUUUGUGCAGUCCUCAAACCACAACCCUGACAGUCCCAAGGCUGAGAAGGAACAGGAUGUUCCCUUGUUGGCUGACCUAAUCCAAAUCACUCAUCCCGAGGGAAAGGCCCCACAACCUCUUUCUUGAGCCAGACACAGCCUGUAAGCAGUUAAAGAGUGGAUGCGGUGGCAAGCUCAGGAGAGGGAGCAUGAUCCCACUGGUCUCCCACUGGUGACCCAGCCACAGCUCCUGCUCCCCUCAGCUCUUAAAAUACAUGGUUUGAGAGCUAUAAAAACUCAUUUCAUGGCAGGGAAGGUCAUUAGAUCUGGCAGCUCGUGUACUUCUGUGUUCACCUGGGCAUCUGACAAACAUGGUGAGCACCUAGCCUGCUCAGCCCCGUGCUGCUGGGACUUGAACACAGUCACGAUUACAAAUGUAUCACAGAGGAAGCUCUCAGUGCCUGCUUCCUUUCCUACAAAAUAGAGAUAACUGCCUCCUGGAGUGAUAAAUAUGAUCGUGUUUGGUAAAGAUCUCUGCGAGCCGGCGGUCAGCACAAAAGGCCAGCCUGUUGCGGCUCGCAAGCACACUCAUCCCCUGCCUCCCCUUCUGCCGCUCCUUCCCGAAACACGUCAGCGCUCGCAGGAGGAGUGAUCCAGUUUACAGUAUGGCUUUUGAAACGUCUGCAUCAGCACCACUGAGGCAGCGGUGGCUGUGACACAGCACUAGGACCAAGCGGCUGGGGGGAGAACAGAUGACGUCUCAAGCCAGUUUUGCUGAUGAAGAGAGCAUUAUGGAAUCGCACCCUGACACACGAAAACAAGACAAUGAAGCUAUGAAAACACAGCCACACCAGAAGUUGGCCUGGAAGAAACUUGUUUUGGAAGAGAUUUCUUCUGCCUCGCAAGGCAUUUGGAAAUGAUUUGUCGACGUGAAUUUAGCCACCUUACCUGUUUGUGAGAAACAGAAAUGAAACGUGCCUAUGUUUAGUGUUCGUGGCAGACGUGCAGGCUUCUCCCACGGACUGCAGCUUGCCAAUAAACUUAAGCCCAAUUGUCUUGGAUUAGGCCAGUGUAGUGGAAAACAGCGUAGUUCAGCAAAGUGAGCAUUGGUGUGGUCUGUUGUGAAGGCUGGCAAAUCGAAGAGUAACCUCUGGAUGCUUGGUGUUUCAUUUUCUUUUUCUUUCUCUGGUAAAUCUGGCUGCUGUUGAGGUCCUUGAGAUGCUGUUUUUCAGAAUUCAAUGACCAUUACAAGUUUGCUCUUACAAUGGAUGCUAGCUUGCAAGCAUCGAUGGAAAAUGUGAGUGAAGUUGACCAGAAGGAUCAAAUAAACAUCAUACGAAUUUGUAGAAAGUAACGGAUGUACAAAAUUAAUAUGAUAGCUUUUUUACUCAUACUUCUUUCAGAGGCGUGUCUCCUUUCCUGGGUAACUUCCUGCCAUCAGACCAACACAAAAACCCUUUGCACUUAUUUUCAGAAUAGUCAAGCUGCAGAAAACAGACAAUUCAAAUCUCACUUGCCUCAACUACCAUGCACCUACCAAGCUGAGCAUUAGGGAAACAUGCAGAGUUUUCAAAAGAAGUGGGAUACUUUUUGGUAAGGGAGAGGUUGGUAGAAAACUGCAGCUAUCUUUGCUUUGAGCUCAUUUUUGAUACUUUACUGCUGAAGUCAUCAGGGAAGUUUUGCCAUUGAUUAAACAGGAGUGGAACCAACUUCUCAAAUGUCUUUAUUAAAGAAAAACAAAUAGAGAAAGACAAACCUGAGAAAGACAGUACAGCCUGACCUUAGACUUAAGUCUUGGGAAGUGCAGACUACCUAUGAAAGUAUGAGAGGCAGACGAGAGUAAGAAAAUUUGAAAUGCCCUGUACCAUGCAGACCUUAAAAAUGACUGACAGCCUUUUAAUGUCUGCAUUUCAUACUUGCAGUCGUUACCUUUUAUUUCCCACACGACUACUGUUGUCAGUCAAUUUUUUGCCUUUUCUAUUUCCUUGCCCAGCUAAGCUCUGCUACUUUUCUCCUUCAAAAACUUUACUUAGACCUGAUACUGUCUGCUUGCUUUUGUUUACCUUUCUUAGCCACUUGGCUGAAGACACAGCUUCUCUUUUUUCUUUGAUGUAUGUAGUAAUCUCCACUAUUUCCAUUCCGUCUCAUUUUUAUGGGAGAAUUUAAAACCCUGCCUUUCAACCAGUAAAUAUCUUUUUUUGUCACUUUUUGAUGGAUCAGAAUGAGUUAUUGGACACUUAAAUGGGGACUUAGGUCCCCAUUUAAGGCACCUGAUUAUGUAGGUAUCUUUGGUUGCCUCUUGUCACAGUUCCAGCUUCCUUUCAUUCUCUGUCUUAAUGUACUAGCGAAGACCUAUGCUGUACGUUCUCUUCCCACUGCCAAAUUAAAUUCUUAUUGUACCUAUAUUUACACCUCUCACCUCUGCCUUUAACAAUGACACCUUUGUAUGCCUGAUACUCAGCUCUACAAAUCUUUCACUGCUUUCAGAGAUUUCACCCACUGCCUUUUGUGUCUUGAGACAUACACGUCUAGCGUUGUUUCCAAACUGCCGCAAUGAAUCUGAGCCAAAAGCAUUUCACUUGGACAAGAGAUGCUUACUCAAUACAAUUCUCUGCUAACAUCUCUGUCUCUCUUGAUUCAAGCCUGCUUCACUUGUAACUUUGAUACUAGUCGACAUUGGUAAACUUCACCCUGUAGUUUCUGUCAUUGGCACCUACGUCUGCAAACCUGCCCUCCUUAUCGAAGGUAGGAAGCCCUGAAGGGAGGCAGCCUUGCAUUUCUGGGUGCUUGUAAAUAAGCAAUAAAGCUCAUCUUUACAGCUGGA